AUUCCAUGAUGAAGGCACUUUCGUAAAAAUUCUUUGUACCUUUCCCAUGCCUCUACAAGGACUCAUCAUCCAUUUGUUGGAAAGCAGUGAUCUCAUUCCUCAACUU
rfam:Gossypium hirsutum cultivar TM-1 chromosome 16, whole genome shotgun sequence